rnacentral:lncRNA from 1 species
AUUCAAUCCCUGCAAAAAUCCUCUGAGGGGAGCACUUAAGAGCCUCUCAUUUUCCAAAAGAAGAAACUGAAGGAUAGAUCUCUAGAACCCUGAAGUUCCUGUGUUCUCAUUAACAAUUCUAUGACCUACUUUAGUUUUGAAUGUAAUUCCACAGCAGAUGGCUGGAACGUGGUCUGGGGGAUUAAGCGAGCCUUUUCAGAUUAAUGCCAAGAAAAUAUAUGCAGAAGAGACACCCAUGUCAUUGAACAAGAGGUUCUAAUAUUACAUAACAGGGUAGUGGUAUGUAGCUGUAGUGGUAUGUGCUCUCUCUCAAUGCUGAGCUGCAGCUCCCAGUCAGCCACUGGAUCAUGAGGGUAAAAUACGGAUACUUGACAUCUUCUUAAAGAACAUCAUGCCUGCUAAGCCAUCCAGUUUGGAUGCCCCAGUGCCUUCCACCAGCCAUUCUCAAGCCUCAUUAGAAGAGAGAGAUUGAUGACCCUGUAGCUGCAGCAUCCCAUCAUCCUGCAUUUUAGUUCAAUGCUUCAAACGUUCUUCAGGCCCAGUGUGCUUUCAGCUGUGUAUGUUAAUGGUGAGUACCCAGGUGAUCAUAUUUUUUCAGUUUCACUACAGUGUUUAAUAAAUAACAUGAAAUAUUCAAUACUUUAUUAUAAAAAUAGGCAUUAUGGUGGAUGAUUUUGCUGAACUGUAGGCUAAUGUAAAUGUUCCAAGUACAUUUAAGGUAAGUUAGGUUAAGCUAUGAUAUUUGAUAGGUUAGGCGUAUUAAGUGCAUUUUCAAGUGAUGAUAUUUUCAACUUCAAAUGGGUUUAUUGGGACAUAGCCUGUCUUUGUCCAUUUGUAUUGCUAUAAAGUAAUAUCUGACGCUGGGCAAUUUAUAAAGAAUAGAGGUUUAUUUUGGCUCAUGGCUCUGCAGUAUGUACCGGAAGCAUGGCAUCAGCAUCUGCUCCUGGUGAAGCCUCAGGAAGCUUCCAAUUAUAGCAGAAGGUAAACAGGGAGCCAGCAUAUCACAUGGUUAGAGAGAGAGCCAGAGAGGGAAGAGGAGGUGCCAGGCUCUUUUUAACAGUCAGCUCUCACAUUAACUAACACAGUGAGAACUUACUCAUUAGCAUGAGGAUGCCACUGAGAGGUGAAGCUGGCUAGGAUUCUGGUUCGGAUGGGGACUUGGAGAACUUUUGUGUCUAGCUAGAGGAUUGUAAAUGCACCAAUCAGUGCUCCGUGUCUAGCUAAAGGAUUGUAAAUGCACCCAUCAGCACUCUAUAAAGUGGACCAAUCAGCACUCUGUAAAAUGGACCAAUCAGCAGGAUGUGGGUGGGGCCAAAUAAGGGAAUAAAGGCUGGCCACCUGAGCCAGCAGGGGCAACACACUCAGGUCCCCUUCCACGCUGUGGAAGCUUUGUUCUUUUGUCACAAUAAAUCUUGCUGCUGCUCACUCUUUGGGUCCGCACCACCUUUAAGAGCUGUAACACUAACUGUGAAGGUCUGCGGCUUCACUCCUGAAGCCAGCGAGAGCGAGACCACGAACCCACCGGAAGGAAGAAACUCCGGACACAUCUGAACAUCUGAAGGAACAAACUCCGGACACACCAUCUUUAAGAACUGUAACACUCACCACGAGGGUCCACAGCUUCAUUCCUGAAGUUAGCAAGACCAAGAACCCACUGGAAGGAACCAAUCCCAGACACAGCACCAUAAGGGAUCCACCUAUGACAGAAACAUCUCUUACCAGGUCCCACCUCCAACGUUGGGAAUCACAUUUCAACAUGAGAUUUGGAGAGGACAAGCUAUCCAAACCAUCUCGGAGUCCCAUGGUGAGUGGAGGAACAUCUGAACUGAGACUUGCUAUGGAAUUCAAAUAGGUUUCCACAUUUUUACCUGAAAGAGGUAUUAAAAUAGAAAUGUUAUUGGCAAUUUUGAUUUUUUUAAAAUUACAUGGUUGUCUUUAUUAUCUUUAAUUGAUAGUUCAGCAGUAGUUUCUUUGUUGAUAUAAAUUUAGGAUGUAGUGUGUCUCAAAUUUUGGAAAAAUACGCAAGAAAAAGCAGCAUAGACAUGAGAAAGGAAAAGACAAUUUUCUCUCGGUAACCUCAGACACAGGCGAGAUAUGGCAAAGGAUACUAUAUGGGCUUGAAAGUUUCACGAUUCAAUAGAGUUUCACCUAAUAAAGCGUGAUUUGAUCUGAACACUACAGGGGCUGGGGUAGAGAAGAGCACUAGGCAGACCCAGCAUAAGAGGGAAGAGAAAGACUCUUCAGCGUGAAGAGCCUGAGGGUGCAAAGUACACUUUUGUAGCAAUGGUCUGUGCAUGGCUCUGGCUAUUACAAAUCUAUUUUAAUGUCCAUAGAUUCUGCAUCUUUUAAAAAAGAAAAAUAAUAAGAAAAAGAAAAAUACGCUGGUUGCUCAGACACAAGUGAACAAAGAUGCAGAUCAGCUAUUUAAGUAGGUUGACACACGGCACGUGAGAUUUAAUUUUGACAAUUUCUACUUUGCAAACUAUUGUUGCAAGGGAGUGGAGAAGAGGAAAAAUGGAGAAAGCACUUCAUGGAUGAAAGGGGACGCAGUCAG